UACGUAGGGGGCAAGCGUUGUCCGGAUUUAUUGGGCGUAAAGAGCGUGUAGGCGGCCUGUUAAGUCGAACGUGAAAUCCCUGGGCUCAACCCAGGAACUGCGUCCGAUACUGGCAGGCUUGAAUCCGGGAGAGGGAUGCGGAAUUCCAGGUGUAGCGGUGAAAUGCGUAGAUAUCUGGAGGAACACCGGUGGCGAAGGCGGCAUCCUGGACCGGCAUUGACGCUGAGGCGCGAAAGCCAGGGGAGCAAACGGG
rnacentral:rRNA from 1 species